GACUCGUCACACUAUCAUUAACUGAAUCCAUAGGUUAAUGAGGCGAACCGGGGGAACUGAAACAUCUAAGUACCCCGAGGAAAAGAAAUCAACCGAGAUUCCCCCAGUAGCGGCGAGCGAACGGGGAGGAGCCCAGAGCCUGAAUCAGCAUGUGUGUUAGUGGAAGCGUCUGGAAAGGCGCGCGAUACAGGGUGACAGCCCCGUACACAAAAGCGCAUGUGCUGUGAGCUCGAUGAGUAGGGCGGGACACGUGGUAUCCUGUCUGAAUAUGGGGGGACCAUCCUCCAAGGCUAAAUACUCCUGACUGACCGAUAGUGAACCAGUACCGUGAGGGAAAGGCGAAAAGAACCCCGGCGAGGGGAGUGAAAAAGAACCUGAAACCGUGUACGUACAAGCAGUGGGAGCACC
rnacentral:rRNA from 1 species